rnacentral:rRNA from 1 species
GAUGAACGCUAGCGGCAGGCCUAACACAUGCAAGUCGGACGGCAGCGGCACCUUCGGGUGGCCGGCGAGUGGCGCACGGGUGCGCACCGCGUAUGGAACCUACCCAGUACAGGGGAAUAGCCCAGGGAAACUUGGAUUAAUGCCCCAUGGCAUCCCUGAUAAGGCAUCUUAUUAUUAUUAAAGCUUCGGCGGUAAAAGAUGAGUAUGCGUUCUAUUAGCUAGAUGGUGUGGUAACGGCACACCAUGGCAACGAUAGAUAGGGGCCCUGAGAGGGGGAUCCCCCACACUGGUACUGAGACACGGACCAGACUCCUACGGGAGGCAGCAGUGAGGAAUAUUGGACAAUGGGCGGGAGCCUGAUCCAGCCAUGCCGCGUGCAGGAAGACUGCCCUAUGGGUUGUAAACUGCUUUUAUACAGGAAGAAACACUCCCUCGUGAGGGAGCUUGACGGUACUGUAAGAAUAAGGAUCGGCUAACUCCGUGCCAGCAGCCGCGGUAAUACGGAGGGUCCGAGCGUUAUCCGGAAUCAUUGGGUUUAAAGGGUCCGUAGGUGGAUAAUUUAGUCAGAGGUGAAAUCCUGCAGCUCAACUGUAGAAUUGCCUUUGAUACUGGUUAUCUUGAGUCAUUAUGAAGUAGUUAGAAUAUGUAGUGUAGCGGUGAAAUGCAUAGAUAUUACACAGAAUACCGAUUGCGAAGGCAGAUCACUAAUAAUGUACUGACACUGAUGGACGAAAGCGUGGGUAGCGAACAGGAUUAGAUACCCUGGUAGUCCACGCCGUAAACGAUGGUCACUAGCUGUUUGGACUUUAAGUCUGAGUGGCUAAGCGAAAGUGAUAAGUGACCCACCUGGGGAGUACGUUCGCAAGAAUGAAACUCAAAGGAAUUGACGGGGGCCCGCACAAGCGGUGGAGCAUGUGGUUUAAUUCGAUGAUACGCGAGGAACCUUACCAGGGCUUAAAUGUAGAUUGACAGGACUAGAGAUAGUUUUUUCUUCGGACAAUUUACAAGGUGCUGCAUGGUUGUCGUCAGCUCGUGCCGUGAGGUGUCAGGUUAAGCCCUAUAACGAGCGCAACCCCUGUUGUUAGUUGCCAGCGAGUGAAGUCGGGAACUCUAACAAGACUGCCGGUGCAAACCGCGAGGAAGGUGGGGAUGACGUCAAAUCAUCACGGCCCUUACGUCCUGGGCUACACACGUGCUACAAUGGCCGGUACAGAGAGCAGCCACUGCGCGAGCAGGCGCGAAUCUAUAAAGCCGGUCACAGUUCGGAUUGGAGUCUGCAACUCGACUCUAUGAAGCUGGAAUCGCUAGUAAUCGCAUAUCAGCCAUGAUGCGGUGAAUACGUUCCCGGGCCUUGGACACACCGCCCGUCAAGCCAUGGAAGCUGGGGGUACCUGAAGUCGGUGACCGCAAGGAGCUGCCUAGGGUAAAACUAGUAACUAGGGCUAAG